AAGUGCAGCUGCUUCAGGCUGAGGUGGCAGAUAGUGAGCGCUGGUGGCGGAGUUAAAGUCAAAGCAGGAGAGUAAUUAUGAAUAGCGCAGCGGGAUUCUCACACCUAGACCGUCGCGAGCGGGUUCUCAAGUUAGGGGAGAGUUUCGAGAAGCAGCCGCGCUGCGCCUUCCACACUGUGCGCUAAUUGUAGAGCGGGAAGGAAACUUCAAGAUCACUGAAUUAUAACUUCUCAUUUUUCUGUGGUAAAACUAGCUCCCCACGAUGAGAUAGUGCCGUGCUGGCUCUGCAUUUUCUCUCUCUCUUCAGUCCCAUUUUCCGGAAGUGUGAUAUGCGUCUUUAUCUGGUUUCUCCAUGCCUUUUUCUCAAAUAGUAUCUACUCUCUCCUUUUCUCUUCCUUCUCAGGAGCAAUUCUGCCUGUCUGAUAUAAGACUUCAGGCAAACCCGGAUGUGAAUCCUGGUCUCCACCACCUAUAUAUAUAAUGUGACUUUGGGAACAUUCUCUAAGCUCUCAACCUCAGUUUUCUUAUGGCUAAAAGAUAAUAGUAAUAUUUACAUUUCAUGGUUUGUGUAAGGAUUAAAUAAGAUAGCAUAAACAACCUGGAACAAUAUUUGCCACAGGGUAGAGAAUAAAUAGUAGUCACCAUUAAUGUUGAAGAGUUAUAUUCAUAUGUGUACGAGGGGUGCUAAUGAAUGUAAUUUAGUCAGACUUUGAAACAGCAUUUAUCAGAGUUUAGCAAUAAAAACUAUCAAAAAGA
rnacentral:sRNA from 1 species